UAUCUCUGUAGAGUCUGCAUAUCAAUAAGCGGAGGAAAAGAAACUAACAAGGAUUCCCUUAGUAACGGCGAGUGAAGCGGGAAGAGCUCAAAUUUGAAAUCUUCAAGGUUUUACCUUGACGAAUUGUAGUUUAAAGAAGUGUUUUCUGUUGAAGUUUUGGUAAAAGUUCUUUGGAAUAGGACAUCAUAGAGGGUGAGAAUCCCGUAUUUGACCAUUAUUUUCAGCUGUGUGAUACACUUUCAAAGAGUCGGAUUGUUUGGGAAUGCAGUCCAAAAUGGGUGGUAAAUUUCAUCUAAAGCUAAAUAUUGGCGAGAGACCGAUAGCGAACAAGUACCGUGAGGGAAAGAUGAAAAGAACUUUGAAAAGAGAGUUAAACAGUACGUGAAAUUGUCAAAAGGGAAGCGUUUGACACCAGUGUUGUUUUCUCGAAAAUCAAUUAAAAAAGGCCGGAUUUUGUGUUGUAUUGACCUUAAAAGCUUUCUUCACUCUUUUCUUGUCUUUUUUAAUGCACUUUUCGUUUAACAAGUCAACAUCAGUUUCUUUUGUUGUAAAAGGGCCAUUGGAAGGUGGCUUUCUUUUCGGAGAAAGUGUUUAUAGCCUUUGGACUUCUGCAAUCGGAGAGAUUGAGGUCUGCAGCGUAGAUCCUUCGGGGUUAGAUGCAUUUGUGCUAAGUUAUAGCCUUUCAUAGACAACUUGUUGACUAUGAUCAGUCAUGUAGCUUACUCGCUUAUGCUAUUUUACCUACGCUUAGGAUGUUGAGUAGCGACAUACGCAC
rnacentral:rRNA from 1 species